GAUGAACGCUGGCGGCGUGCCUAACACAUGCAAGUCGAGUGAUCUCUUCGGAGAGAGCGGCGGACGGGUGAGUAACGCGUGGGUAACCUGCCCUGUACACACGGAUAACAUACCGAAAGGUAUACUAAUACGGGAUAACAUACGAAAGUCGCAUGGCUUUUGUAUCAAAGCUCCGGCGGUACAGGAUGGACCCGCGUCUGAUUAGCUAGUUGGUAAGGUAAUGGCUUACCAAGGCAACGAUCAGUAGCCGACCUGAGAGGGUGAUCGGCCACACUGGAACUGAGACACGGUCCAGACUCCUACGGGAGGCAGCAGUGGGGAAUAUUGCACAAUGGGCGAAAGCCUGAUGCAGCAACGCCGCGUGAGCGAUGAAGGCCUUCGGGUCGUAAAGCUCUGUCCUCAAGGAAGAUAAUGACGGUACUUGAGGAGGAAGCCCCGGCUAACUACGUGCCAGCCGCCGCAGUAAGAC
rnacentral:rRNA from 1 species